rnacentral:rRNA from 1 species
UACGUAGGGGCCUAGCGUUGUCCGGAAUCAUUGGGCGUAAAGGGCGCGUAGGUGGCCACUUCAAGCGUGCGGUGAAAGUCGGGGGCUCAACCCCUGAUCGGCCGUGCGAACUGGGGGGCUGGAGCACUGUAGAGGCAGGCGGAAUUCCGGGUGUAGCGGUGGAAUGCGUAGAGAUCCGGAAGAACACCGGUGGCGAAGGCGGCCUGCUGGGCAGUGGCUGACGCUGAGGCGCGACAGCGUGGGGAGCAAACAGG